rnacentral:rRNA from 1 species
GAAGCCUCCUUCGAGACUAGAUCUCCCUGAGGACUUGAUCCUCCUGAAGUGCCGUUGAAGACGACGACGUUGAUAGGCUGGGUGUGUAAGCGCUGUGAGGCGUUGAGCUAACCAGUACUAAUUGCACGUGAGGCUUGACCAUAUAA